rnacentral:rRNA from 1 species
UGGGGAACCUGCCCCAUAGUCUGGGAUACCACUUGGAAACAGGUGCUAAUACCGGAUAAGAAAGCAGAUCGCAUGAUCAGCUUUUAAAAGGCGGCGUAAGCUGUCGCUAUGGGAUGGCCCCGCGGUACAUUAGCUAGUUGGUAAGGUAAAGGCUUACCAAGGCGAUGAUGCAUAGCCGAGUUGAGAGACUGAUCGGCCACAUUGGGACUGAGACACGGCCCAAACUCCUACGGGAGGCAGCAGCC